GAGGCUGUGGUUCAAUGGUAGAGCACUUGCCUAGCAUGUGUGAGACACUGGGUUCAAUCCUCAGCACCUCA
rnacentral:tRNA from 1 species